GUCUUUGUGGUGUAGUGGUUAUCACGUGUCCUUCACACCUCUAUGGUUACGGACAAGGCCCUCGGUUCGACCCCGAGCAAGGACA